CGACCGGGACGGCCCGGUUCCUAGCCAAGGUCACUAGCCGGGACGACCCGG
rfam:Rhizobium sp. PDO1-076 strain PDO-076 ctg27, whole genome shotgun sequence.